UCCAUUUGAAUCGUGCCAGGACUAAAACUGUACUUCAUUAGCAUGUCCCCGACUCACCUAAGGUAUGCUAGGACCUUCUUUCAUUUGUCUUGCCCUUCAGGGAUCAUGAGAUAAGGAACCAGUGUUAGUUGGAUGCUCUGACACUAUAAUGAAAAAUCAGGUCCAGUGAUACUUUCUUUUAUGUGAAACAAAGUGCAGGGGGAAUGAAUUUGCAAUGGCCAAAAUGGAAAUUGCUUCAAUGACACAGAACCCCAUGUCUAAAGAAGAUUAUACAGGAAGCGAUCAAACUAGAAGAUGAUGUAGAACAGUGUAAUAGCGAAGUCUGUAGCAAAAUGGAGUUUUUCUCAUUCCGUUCAUCUGAUCACCUAUGAGGGAGUCUCAACAGAAUUCUAUGGUUUGAAUCGGCAAAACCAAAAUCUUUCUUAAGGUGGAAAAGGUUUCUUCAUUUUCUGCAGAUGUAAGAUUAAUGAAUUGCUAUACAAGGUAAAGCUUGGAAUAAGAAGAUAUAUUGUCAAAAAUAUCAUGUUGAGUAUACAAGUAUGGUGCCUUAUAUAUAGAAACUUCCACCUGAUAAUAUGUCCAAUGCCAUUAUCAGAAAGAUCUCCAUGCAUGAAGAAACAAAAACAAAUCAAAAUAAGCUAAUCAACAAGUCAAUAAGGUGGACAAAUCUAUUUCUUAGACACAUCCAGGUCUUAAUUAUGAUUAAGGACAUACUUUGAUCACAGACAACAAGCAGAAAUCAUUUUUAGACUGUUCUGAUUUAAACAUAUCUAUUAGCUGUGUAAAAUAUGCCUAAUUGGAUAUAUGUCAACCAAGAGUCUUCAGUCACUUCCUUCUUUCUCUUAUUGUCACCAACAGAAAUAGACAAUGCAGAUAUGGCUGAAGGAGAGAGCACAGAAUCCUCUCAUCGUACUCGUCUUUUUCUUCUUUGUCGUCUUCUCCCUCUUAUAUAAUGUGGACGACCCUUUUUUCAAUGGUGAUACAUCUUCAUCCAAGAAAGAACCUUUAUUCAAAUCUACUUAUACUGAAAACUUCACCAUCCCAAGAAAUCGUCCAGGUCAGUGUCCAAAACUUUUGUGAUCAUCAAAAUUACAUCUUUUUUCGUUUUCUCCAUCUUUCUGAAGGCAAGUUUUGUAUGUCUUGUGCACGAGUUUUUUCAAUGUACAAUCUUUUCUGCAUCUGUAGAAAAAAGAUAAACACAUGCCUGAUGAGAUUUUCUGUUCAUAUGUUUGAUUUUUUUUUUCCUAGUGCCUUUGGAUAAAUCGAGUGCUUGCAGUUCUACUGUUAAAUACAAUGGAAGGAGACCUAAAUGGGAUUACCCCGUACUGGGGUCCGGUGGAAGGAGAACACCACUGGAGACUGGUGAUUACACUUCCGGAAGAUGGGUCUUUGAUAACACUUCAUGUCCACUGUAUAACGUAUCUGAUUGUCCAUAUAUGUCAGCUCAGUUAGCUUGCCAACAUUAUGGAAGGCCUGAUCUGGAUUACCAGUAUCGGUGAUGGCAGUCUCACAACUGCAACUUGAAGAGGUAUCUUUUAUUUUUAUUUUUAAAAAGGGGAAUCUGUUAUGAUGAGAAGCUCCCUAUAAAGAGCCAAACCAGGUAAAGUAACCUCAACCUGCCGACAAUGCGAAUGAUGGAAAAAGUACAAGCUAGAUUGGGCUCAAAGGUCUCCGUUAUCAACAUCACUCACCUCAUGGCCUUAAGGAAAGAUGGACACCCUAGCAUUUAUUGCAAAUUUUAUGGUCCCCGAGAAAUUAGCAAACCCAGCAAGUUACUCGGAUUGCAUCCACUGGUGCUUACCAGGGGUGUCUGAUGUAUGGAAUGAGCUGCUAUCUCAAUUUUUGUGACACGGAGGCAUUGGCUGAUUGAGGAUAUAUAUAUAUUCGAGGAGGAAAUAUGAGUAAAAUCUUAUUUCUUCCAUAAUUGAAGGAUAUUUCAAGUAGAAGAGUUGACGUAUCCCUUUCCUCUCAAGUGUCUUGCUAUAAGCAUUGACAAUACGGAGAUGCUAUCAUAUGAUUAGGUUGAAAAAGCAAGAGGAGAUGUAGCUCUUAUACCACUAGACACUCAAGAGUUAGAAAUUUGGAACAACAGCUUAAUAGUUGCAAGUCCAUCUCUAGUUCAGUUGAAAGGCUUGAGAAGAAUUAAAAUUUGCUAAUGCCAUGGUAUAGAGUGUCUAAUUAGGUUAUCGAAUUGUAACUCAAAGGUUGAAAAAAUGAUGGGAGAUCAUGGAAUCAUACCUACUUGCAACCCAUUCCAAAGUGUUGAGAAGUUGGAUUUGAAAUUUUUGGAUGAUUUCACUGGUCUUUUUAAGUUAGAGUGAGAAGCUUUGCCUCCAUUAGGAGCCUUUUCCCACCUCCAGUCCAGAGUGUAAUAAAAUGAAGAAGCUAAUUCCAAGGUGGCUGUUGCAGUACCUCCUAAAUCUGACAGUAAUUGAUGUGAAGAGGUGCAAUGAAAUUGAAGAGAUAACAACAGACGAUGAAGAAAAGCAAGUCUCUCUUUUUCCUUCUAAUCAAAGCAAAUGCAUCAGCAAUGAUGAGGUUAUUCUACCAAAGUUGCAAGUUCUUUGUUCAGAAAAUUUACAACACCUCAAGAGCGUGUACAAGGGAAGAGUGACUUGUGAUUCUAUUAAGCAUAUAACAGUUCUUGGUUCUCAGAAGCUGAAGAGACUUCCAUUUACUCUGCCGGUUUACAAUGGGCAACCAUCAACUCCACCAGCUCUUGAAUCUAUCAAAAUGGAUGAAAGUUCGUGGGAAUCUUUGGACUGGGACCAUCCUCAAUACAAGAAUGUACUCCAUCGUUUUGUUAAGAAGCCGGUCAACAACUCAGGCAGGAAAUGUUGAAAAGCGACUAACUAUACAAGAGUUCUUUUCCCCUUAUGCACUCUAAAAAAGGGUAUGUUGGGUUUUUGGACCCUAUGUUGAGUAAGGGUUCCAUACCUUCCAAAAGUGAUAGAUAAAAGAUUAAUGGACUUCUAUACAAGGUAAAGCUUGGAAUGAAAGAUUAAAGGUAUAUUACCAAAAAUACUGUAUUGGAUAUGGUAGACUUAUAUUGAAACUUCCACCUGAUAAAAAAGUUCCACUCAAUCAUCAAAUAGAUCUCAAUACAUAGACAAUAAGCAGAAAUCAUAUAGACCUGUUCAAAGUUAACAUCAUUAUCAACUGUCUAAAAUAUGCCUAAUUGGAUCCUUUUGGAACCAAGAAUUUUCAGUGCUGUCCUUAGUCUGAUUGCCACAGACACAUAUGCACAAUCAGAUAUAGCUGAGGAAGAGAACAAUAUCCAUUCAUAGCACUCGUCUUCUUAGUUUACUUGGUCUUCUGCAUCUUUAUGAUGGAGAAGACACUUGAUUCAAUGUUAAUACACUUUCAUCCAAGAAAAGACUCUUUGUUCAAUCUUCUCAUACUAAGAAUCUCACCCUUCGAAAAAAUCCUCAAGGCCAGUGUACAUAACUUUUGGGAUCAUCAAAUUGUAUCAUUUUUUAAUUAUUUUUUUUUUUCAUUAUUUCAUUUACUUUCUAGGGCUCGUUAAUCUUUUCUGCAUUCUGUUGAAAUUGGCAGUUAAGAAUGAAUACUUCAAUGUUCAUAUUUUUUUCAGCUGUCUCUGUGCAUAUGUUUGACUUUUUGCUAAUAGUGCCUUCGGAAAUUGGAUAAAUCCAGUGCUUGCCAUUCUAUGGUGAAGUGUAUUGAAAUGAGAGCUGAAUGCGAUAGCCCUGUACUGGAGUUCGGUGGCUGCAGACUGGAGAGAACUACCAUAGAUGUGUGAUUACUCUUCCGGAAAAUGUGUCUUUGAAAACACUUCAUGUCCGCUAUCUAAUGAAUCUGAAUUUCCUUAUAUGUCAGCCCAAUUAGUUUGCCAAAAGCAUGGAAGGCCUGACACCAGAAUUGGAGAUGGCAGGCCUCACAACUGCAAUUUGAAGAGGAAACAAGAAUGGGAACCAGGAAAAAGUGGAAACUGUUGUGAAUAAGAAACUCCCUAUAAAGAACCAAACCGGGCAUGGUGACUUCGACUUGGCCACAAUGCGGAUGGCAGAAAGAGUACUGGCUAGGUUGGAUAGACCGACCGAUUAAGGGUAUUAAGGCAGUAGGUGAAGAAUACUACUGCACUCACUAUGUGGUAGUUGGUGCAAACUUAGUAUAGAUACAUACUUUCAAAUUGUUCCACUAUAGAUAUAUAGUACAAGUCGAGUUGAGUGAUUGUAACCGGUAUUAAAUACUGCAUAUGCCUGUUACUGGACUCUUUGUAACUAAUUAUUUAGCUAUCCUUGGAGUACAGGAAAGUUUAUGCUUAGAACAAAGUAUACAUCUUAAAAGCAUGUGAUUUUUGUUGUUCAUAGUGAAGAACUUCUUGAA